rnacentral:rRNA from 1 species
GCAUAUCAAUAAGCGGAGGAAAAGAAACCAACAGGGAUUGCCUUAGUAGCGGCGAGUGAAGCGGCAAAAGCUCAAAUUUGAAAUCUGGCUCUUUCAGAGUCCGAGUUGUAAUUUGAAGAAGGUAUCUUUGGGUCUGGCUCUUGUCUAUGUUUCUUGGAACAGAACGUCACAGAGGGUGAGAAUCCCGUGCGAUGAGAUGAUCCAGGCCUAUGUAAAGUUCCUUCGAAGAGUCGAGUUGUUUGGGAAUGCAGCUCUAAGUGGGUGGUAAAUUCCAUCUAAAGCUAAAUAUUGGCGAGAGACCGAUAGCGAACAAGUACAGUGAUGGAAAGAUGAAAAGAACUUUGAAAAGAGAGUGAAAAAGUACGUGAAAUUGUUGAAAGGGAAGGGCUUGAGAUCAGACUUGGUAUUUUGUAUGUUACUUCUUCGGGGGUGGCCUCUACAGUUUAUCGGGCCAGCAUCAGUUUGGGCGGUAGGAGAAUUGCGUUGGAAUGUGGCACGGCUUCGGUUGUGUGUUAUAGCCUUCGUCGAUACUGCCAGCCUAGACUGAGGACUGCGGUUUAUACCUAGGAUGUUGGCAUAAUGAUCUUAAGUCGCCCGUCUUGAAACACGGACCA